GAUCGCUGUGAUGCGGGCGGUUCGCCGCCCGUGACUCUGCGAGAAGUCCAUUGAACCUUAUCAUUUAGAGGAAGGAGAAGUCGUAACAAGGUUUCCGUAGGUGAACCUGCGGAAGGAUCAUUGUCGAGACCGGAAUACAUCGAGCGAUUUGGAUAACCCGUUAAAAUAGGCGGCGGCCAUUCCUGCCGUGAUAAAAUCCAUCCCAGUCUUUGCCUCGCCCUCCUUGGGGCUGGGGCGCGAUGAAGGAGGGACGAACACUCAAACCGGCGCAGCGUCGCGCCAAGGGAAUGUUGAAACACGAGCCCAAAAAUAGGUUCUCGGUGGCAUGGGGUGCUGUUGCACGCCAUAUGGAUUGACAUGACUCUCGGCAAUGGAUAUCUCGGCUCUCGCAUCGAUGAAGAGCGCAGCGAAAUGCGAUACGUGGUGCGAAUUGCAGAAUCCCGCGAACCAUCGAGUCUUUGAACGCAAGUUGCGCCCGAGGCCAAUCGGCCAAGGGCACGUCUGCCUGGGCGUCAAGCAUUAUGUCGCUCCGUGUCAAGUCAUCCCAUGGAUGGAUGGGCUGGCGAAUGGUCGGAUGCGCAGAGUGGCUCGUCGUGCCCAUGGUGCGGCGGGCUGAAGAGCAGUUCGUCAUCUUGUUGGCUGCGAACAAUAAGGGGUGGAUUAAAACGAGGCCUAUGUUAUUGUGUCGUGUAUGCCCGAGAGAAGAUUACACCUUCUGGGGUGAUCCCAAAUCAUGCGUCGAUCUUCGGAUGGCAUUUGGAAUGCGACCCCAGGUUGGGCGAGGCCACCCGCCGAGUUUAAGCAUAUCAAUAAGCGGAGGAGAAGAAACUUACGAGGAUUCCCCUA
rnacentral:rRNA from 1 species